GACUGUGUGGCAUAGUGAUGCAGGACUGUGUGGAACAGAGAUACUGGACUGUGUGGAACAGUGAUCCUGGACUGUGUGGAACAGUGAUCCUGGACUGUGUGGAACAGUGAUCCUGGACUGUGUGGAACAGCAACGCUGGACUGCGUGGAACAGCAACACUACACUGUGUAGAACAGCGACGCUGAACUGUGUGGAAAAGCUGUAGGUACCAUGAACUACAACAGACACUCCACAAAACUACAAAGCCCAUACACUAUGCACUACACUACACAUUUAACCACGCCUCCUGCUGGGGCUUUCCAGUUACAGUAUUGGCUUACUGCAAAAUCAAUAAAAUGGAGGUCGCCUUUGUUUCGCUCUCUCUGUUCCAUUUCCUCUCUCUCUCUGAACUCGCUACCCUUCUCCGGUCUCCCUCUCACGUGAGUCAGCAUGCCAGGAGGAGUCCACAAGGCCUGCAGCCAAGCACGGCACGUAUGCCCCCGUCCGUGGGAGGAACCGGGCGCUCUUUGCCCCUUUCGGGAUUUCCCCUUUUCCACGACAACUCCUACGGAUUUCGCACUGGAAACCAGGAAGCAUUCCAACAACCAAUUCAAAGCAAAGGACUCAAGUAAGGCUGAAUUAGGCAAAAUUAGCAAAUUAGCGACAGACUGAACGUAGCAACAUUCAUGACUGAAUGUACAUGACAAUGCUAAUGGUUAUUGUGUUCUGAUGGUUAAUGUAAAUAGUCCAUGUGUUACCAUUCUCUUAAGACUCUUCAGCCAUCCACCACGCUGCGUUAGUUUUAAUAUAUAUAUCACACCCAGAACAGAUCUUGAAUGUGAUGUAUUUUAAAUACUAACUGGUCAUAACAUGGCAUGUUGCCGUCUACAAAUGCACACAGAUAACCAUAUGGCCAAUAUCCUUCAUCUGAUUGGCACGCUCCAUGCGCCAUUGGUUAAUCACUACCUCCAGCUAGUUUCAAACCCCGCUCCAUCUUAGUUCCUUUGUUCUCCUUGAAUACGUGCCUGCGGUGCGCAACCCCGCACGCAGGAGAACAUACAACACUCCUCACAUACUUUUGCGCAUGCGCACUCAAUGCAAACACACACGCACACAUAACACACACACAUACGUGCACUGAAAUAGUUUGCUGUACAUUAUAGCAGUGAAUUGUGCUUUGCCCCUUUCUGGUGUUCAAUUAACUUUUAUUAUAUUUCAAAGGUUGUCUGUAUUUAUAUUACUCAUGUGUUGAAUUGAGUCAGCCACUGCUAAUCAAAAUGACUUCCUAGAAUACGUUCACCUCUUAGGUGAAUCAUUUAUAUUAAUUUGGUAUUUUAGCUGAAUGCAUAAUAUUAUGAUUUGGUUAAGAUGAACUAUUAAUGUGUAAAUUUUAUUUAAUCAUUUAAUCAUUAAUUGAAAUUUCCAAUUUAUAGUAUGUAUAUUCCCUUUAUGAGACUGAUUAUUACAUGCGGGUGCCACCUGAGAGGAUACAGAUGUAUAUCUCCUACAUUUUGGUGCCCCACUAUGAGAAGUAGCGGAAUGUCCCCUACACAGCAAUGCUGAACUGUGUGGAACAGCGAUCCUGGACUGUGUGGAACAGAGAUACUGGACUGUGUGGAACAGAGACGCUGGACUGUGUGGAACAGAGACGCUGGACUGUGUGGAACAGAGAUCCUGGACUGUGUGGAACAGAGAUGCUGGACUGUGUGGAACAGUGAUACUGGACUGUGUGGAACAGUGAUACUGGACUGUGUGGAAUAGCCAUGCCUGUGUUAAAAGCUUUUUUAAUUAUCUGAGCUGGACCACAGAAUUCACACUCUAAACCUAACAGCAUCAUGUCUUCUUUUGUGUCUUGUGCUCAUUGUCAUCAGGAUUAUGUAAAGCAACUUCAAGAAAACUUUCUCUCCCAUUUUCA